UUAAGUGCGAUAAUUAAUGUGAAUUGCACAAAUUCGUGAAUCAUCGAGUCUUUGAACGCAUCUUGCGCUUUUGAGACAAUCAAAAGCAUGGCUGUUUGAGUGUCGGAAACCAUCUCUCAUCAGCAUGAUGAGGACGUGAGGCUCAGACGAUCCCCGGCCCAAGGCUGUGCUGUAGACUGUGGUCUGCCAUGGCUGGGCUGGUGCGAGUCUGUGUCUUGAAAAGGAGACCCCAAAGGUCUUGCAGGCUUUUCAUAACCCAAAGUGAGGUAAAAGACAGUCGUCUUUCAAUCACUGACGGGCCUUGACGAGGAUGCUUGGCGCUUAACUUUGGUCUAGGCUUCACGGCCACCUUAUUAACAACGACCUCAAAUCAGCCAAGAUUACCCGCUGAACUUAA
rnacentral:misc_RNA from 1 species